ACUCCUACGGGAGGCAGCAGUGGGGAAUAUUGCACAAUGGGGAAACCCUGAUCCAGCCAUGCCGCGUGAGUGAUGAAGGCCUUAAGGGUCGUAAAGCUCUUUCGCCUGUGAUGAUAAUGACAGUAGCAGGUAAAGAAACCCGGCUAACUCCGUGCCAGCAGCCGCGGUAAUACGGAGGGGUUAGCGUUGUUUCGGAAUUACUGGGGCGUAAAGCGCGCGUAGGCGGAUUAGUCAGUUAGAGGUGAAAUCCCAGGGCUCAACCCUGGAACUGCCUUUAAUACUGCUAGUCUUGAGUUCGAGAGAGGUGAGUGGAAUUCCGAGUGUAGAGGUGAAAUUCGUAGAUAUUCGGAGGAACACCAGUGGCGAAGGCGGCUCACUGGCUCGAUACUGACGCUGAGGUGCGAAAGUGUGGGGAGCGAAACAGGAUUAGAUACCCUGGUAGCGACUGA
rnacentral:rRNA from 1 species